UGGUGCACUGUUAAGUUCACGAUCGUUGGCCUUGUUUUCCAUUUCUCUGUUCCAUUAUGGUAUUUAUCUACGUACAUUACGAAAUCGAAAGGAAAUGCAGUCUGCAGUAUAGCAACUGCCAGAUCUUGAAGCACUCCAAACAGCUCCGGGACCAUUCCAAAGCAAGGAAACUGGUGAAAAGUUUGUUCAGACUCAUGAGGGAACCCUGCACGCCAUGUCACGCUACAACCUCCUCGAUCUUCUGCGACUCCAGUCUCUGAUCUUUCCUCUGAUUCUUCUGCUGCAUCUACUACUACAUUUUUUGGUAGCUGUGAUUUACAGGUUGGCCCUGUGGAAUACUGAUUCACCAUCUGGAUACACCACACCACCACUAGUCUCCACUGCCUUAGACCACUCGCUACCAGUAACCACUUCUGUGUAGUGGUUCAGACCACUAUGCUUGCCCCUUCCAAUCUGGGGGACCUGUGGGAAAGCAGAGUAGCUCUUCAAGAUUGUAGAAGAUCUCCGUUCCUUGUACGUACUUGUUUGGGGCAUCACAAUGUACCCGAGCACUCCACAAAUUUAUGACCACAGAGUGAGCUGAAUAACCAGCCUUCUGAUCCCGAGUCAUCACAAUAAUACAGCAAUGAGCAGUUGAUGGUGAGGACUGCCUUGGUUGAAAAGACAGAGGGGAAGGAACCAGUAUUAACAGUCGCGAGAGACAAUGCAGACAUGAUGAAGCCCUGCCCCAGAGUCCUGACGCAAAGAGGUGUGUGUAGUCACACCAUCCAGGGAUAAGAGGUGCCUCCUAAGGUUUCACGCCCUCCAAAGGAUCAAGAAGUCCAGCUCCACCUCAGUGGUGACCAGUGACCAAGCCCAUUCCUGGAACUGGUUGGUGGAGGGGGACAAGGGAGAAGUGGGCCACAGCAGCAAACCUGGCCCCUCCCAGGGGACCUUGGGUGAAGGUCCAGCCGGAGGUGACGAGCAGCGCCUUGCCUUAUACCCCAGCCCACAGGAUGGCAUUCUUACACACCCCCUCAUGGAAUGACAUCUCUGUCCAUUCAGCCAAGAGGGGCCCAGUGUCACAUGACUCCCCUAUGGCCCAGCAAACCCACUGCCACCUGCCUGAGAGUAGACAGGCUCGCUCUCACUCUAAACAUCACACCUCCACUCCAACGGUGUUUCCCAUGGCCCACCUGACGCACUCUGACAGCUGUCUCCUUGGAGGUGGUUUUCUCUCAGAUAGGGACGAUCACUGGGUCCUAUUUGAUUCACCCUGCCCUUCUUGUUCAGGGUGGUGGUGCUCAGGAGCCUUCUUGUCACCAGGUCCUGAUUCUGCACUUCUCAGCUCAGAAACACAGGACUGGCCACCACAGGUACUGGAGGGCGGUGAGGGGUAUAAGUCCCCACCCUACUCCACUUCCAUGUACCAUUGUAUGAUGUCCUACAUCACUUCUGUGUAUGAGGAUGCAAUGGGCUGGAGGAUCGACUUGGAACAUCCUGCUGCACCAGGUUCCAAUGCCUCACCUGCAUGAAGGGGUACCUCUAGUAAAGGGAGGAGGUCAUCUCUGUACUUCUUUGUUUGGAGAGACGGAGGGAGAUAGUGCCUGUGCAGAUGUUGAGGUAUAGGUCUGGUUGGGCGAAGAAUGGGUUGCUCUUCACGUAAAUUAGUGUGGUGAUGGCAUUGGACUGAGCUUCAGUGUCCUCACAAACUAGGCAGGACCUAUCAGGUUGGGUCCAGAAGGUGAUUUUGUUCACCUGUGUUUGUAGGCAGUGUUGAAAGGAGAGUAUGUUGUUAAGAUAUUGUGCUGUAGGUGGUAUAAUGAA